rnacentral:rRNA from 1 species
UACGUAGGUGGCAAGCGUUGUCCGGAUUUACUGGGCGUAAAGAGCGCGCAGGCGGUCGUUCAAGUCGCGUGUGAAAGCCCCCGGCUCAACUGGGGAGGUCACGCGAUACUGAUCGACUCGAGGCAGGAGAGGGUAGUGGAAUUCCCGGUGUAGUGGUGAAAUGCGUAGAUAAUCGGGAGGAACACCAGUGGCGAAGGCGACAUUCCUGGCC